rnacentral:tRNA from 1 species
GGCCAGUUAGCUCAUUUGGUUGGAGCGUGGUGCUGCUAACACGGAGGUCACCGGUUCGAUUCCCAUUCUGUCCC